GAGGGUAGAGCUCAGUGGCAGAGCGCAUGCUUAGCAUGCACGAGGUCCUGGGUUCAAGCCCCAGUGCCUCCA
rnacentral:tRNA from 1 species